rnacentral:rRNA from 1 species
GAUCUUCCCCCGGCCCCCGGCGGGACUGCCGACUGGGCCGGACUGCCCUCAGUGCGGCCCGACCGCGGUCCGCCCGGGCGGCGGGCUCACCUCGGGUGCCCGGGUCCGCGGCGACGUCGGUGACC